CUCCAUUUUUCUUUUCCAUUUUCCCAUAUUUUGACGUCACAUUCAAAGAGUAACCUCAUCUUGCUGGGAUUACCUUAUGCCACAGUAGUUGAAGUGCACAGCUCUUUAAAGCGCAUCGCUGCGCCUAUGAAGCGAUAACCCUUUGUUUUGAUUGUUCCAUCAUUUGAAGAAUGAAUCAUGACCUUUUCCCUUUGCUUUUUCCUAAUUGCUUUAGAAUUGCAGACGAAAAGACGUCUAUGUUUUGGUGGUUUCGAGCUUGAAUUUCUAGGAUGUUAGCACUUCUCUAAUCUACUUUUUGUGGAUUGCCAAUCAGCAUGUGAUCAAUACAUGCCAGCUCCCUAUUUACUGUAUAUAUUAUAUGGGUAAUAUCAGUUA
rnacentral:lncRNA from 1 species